AUGCGGCCAAUGACAGGGAGAAGGAGCAGGCCGUCGAGGAGUGCAAGCAGAAGCUUUCCGGUGACUGGAAGUCUGAAAAUCAAGACAGGGCAUAUUGUUUUGGUUAUGAGUGGUUGGAGAUAUUGUGGCUUGAUGUCCCUAGAGCAGUCGGACCCUUCCAAGAUAUGUGCUAAAAUCCUAGGUGUCAAGGGCAUUGUGGUGGUGCGAUCCAUGUCUCCUGCGAGCGCUCGGCAUGGCGUCCAUAGCCCCAAAGAGCAGGGCUUCAAGGCUGGACAACAAGCUUCACUUGAUGAAAGCAUUUCCCUUCUAAAACAGAGUACUGCUGAGAUUAAUGCACAAGAUGUGUGCAGAUCGAACGAAGAAGAGAAGAGGAAGGAUCUUGAGGAAGAGGGAAAAACAAGGAUGCUUGUUCAUUCUUCUUACCUGCAUUUCUCCCUCACUCCGAUCAGGCAAUGGGACUGUUGA
rnacentral:rRNA from 1 species